rnacentral:rRNA from 1 species
AGUGAACGCUGGCGGUAGGCCUAACACAUGCAAGUCGAACGGCAGCACAGUAAGAGCUUGCUCUUACGGGUGGCGAGUGGCGGACGGGUGAGGAAUACAUCGGAAUCUACUUUUUCGUGGGGGAUAACGUAGGGAGACUUACGCUAAUACCGCAUAAGACCUACGGGUGAAAGCAGGGGAUCUUCGGACCUUGCGCGAUUGAAUGAGCCGAUGUCGGAUUAGCUAGUUGGCGGGGUAAAGGCCCACCAAGGCGACGAUCCGUAGCUGGUCUGAGAGGAUGAUCAGCCACACUGGAACUGAGACACGGUCCAGACUCCUACGGGAGGCAGCAGUGGGGAAUAUUGGACAAUGGGCGCAAGCCUGAUCCAGCCAUACCGCGUGGGUGAAGAAGGCCUUCGGGUUGUAAAGCCCUUUUGUUGGGAAAGAAAAGCAGCAGGUUAAUACCCCGCUGUUCUGACGGUACCCAAAGAAUAAGCACCGGCUAACUUCGUG